CACAACACAGACGAUUCACUCUCCGCGGAAACAUACAUAGGUCCCAUCAUUAAAUAGCCCUGCCGAGUGGAACGGUGUCCUAGCCAAUGACACCUUUCCUUCUACACUCUACCAAGGACAGCAACACCAAACCUGACAGCCACACACAGGUCGAUGAAGAAGGGAGAAUGGCGACCACAGCACGUCCUACCCAAACACCGACCCAGCGAACCACCAGUAGCAAGCAAGAUGAGGCUAUCUGUGAGGCUCUGUGCGGCGGUAGUAGCCGCUCUGGGCGUGGUGGUGGCAGCUGAACACGUGGAGCCCAGGAAGGUACGUAACACCGGGAGGAAUUUUGUUUCACCGCGUCUCCCUGAGGAGAGCUUGCCUCGUUUCCGAAACAGUCAUAUUUUCUCUGACACACGGAGGCGGCAGCGGGCCCGCCAGAACAUUCACUCCCAACAAUACACACAGGAAGGGUUAGAUGAGCGUGCUGCUUACCGGGCCAGUCAACACCUCGGGGGCCGGUACCAUUCUCCACGGGGGCAGGCAGAGACCAGCAAUCAUCACACCGUGGCAGCGAUUCGACAUGAAUCAAGAGUACCACAGCAUGUGAGAAUCAACCACACAAAUUCUCCGACAGUACGAGGCUUUACACAUGACCCAGCACCAACCUCGAGAACUCAGACCACUGGGGAUGAGAGUUCACGUGUGCACCAGAUGGGUCUCCACACCACACACGAACGUCGACGCCACCCCUAUGCUCGAGAUUCUUAUGACCCAAGAGUCCCCUCAGCCUCAAGGGACAGACUGCAAAGACUUCCGCCGCAACAGCAUGCUGGUAUUAACAACAGAGUAUCGCAUAGCGAUGCCAGGGUGGAUCGCACAUCCCUGGCUGCAGGAAUAGGAGAGCAAGUGAACAGUGCAUUGUUGGCCUCCUCCAUCAGGCUAGAGAGGCCCCCACAUUACCGCCACAUGGCACCAACCACACAAACCCGCUCAAACCUAACCAGAGAGCCUUCCUCGACUCUUACAAGUGGCUUAUCCAGGGAACUAGACGCCGCAGAGGAACACCCAGGAACACAACAUGGAUUCUCAGAAACAAGUGACGAAGUCGAAAACUACUUGCAGCAGCUUCAGGACUGGCCGGACAAGUGCUGUGGAAGCAGAGUGCCUUUCGACCCUCGCACCGGUAUUCCCACCGGGGCCUUCCAGCGAGUAGCCGCGGCUGGCUCUUUAAAAGUGGUGCACGUGCCUGCCCGGGGCAGUUUUCCACCCAGCGAAGUGCGGGACCUGCUAGCGACUCCUCUUGAUCCCCACACCUUGUCUCUUACCUGGACGGCUCCAGGGGGGGAUCUUGACUCUGGCACAGCUUCGGGCUACAUCAUCCGUCUCAGUGAGGCGCGACACGACCUUCAAGAAUCUCAGUUUGAUGCAGCCCCCGAGGAGACCUUGCUAGAGACCUCUGAGGCGCUGACGGCGGCAGGAGUGUACCAGACUGCAGGGACUCGUGUGAGUGUGGAGGUGCCCCUAGUGAGACCGCUCCAGAGAGGUCACGUCUACUACGUGGCUUUCAAGGCUCUGGACAAUGACGGACAUUCCAGCCGUGUGUCCAACGUGGCUCGGUUCACUGUCCUUCGAUCUUCUACGACCAACAACACUGCAGCUAGCAACAGCGUGCCACCCACCCACGCGAGAAUCCAUACUCAGAUAGAGGAAGCUCCCGGAACCACCACCUUGCGUGGGUCCACUCGCACAAAUGGAGAAAUAAAUACAGAAGCACCACUAAUAACACCAUUAACAGGUUCCAAUACGGAAAGUGAGCAACAGAGAGAGCCAAACAGGGAAGGGAUCAGCGAAGAUCCAAGUCUUCGAUCAGUCACACCUGCUUCGGUACCUGAGCCAAGCGAGUCUGAGGACUCCGAGAAUCAACGAAAACGAAAGAGGGAUCGUAAGAACAAAAACAAGAGAAGAAGGAACGGGAGGAGAAGGAAUGACAGGCAGCGUGAAAGGAACAGUGACACGUCAGUAUGGAACUCUCAUGUACUUGAUAUAUACGCUGAGCUUGAACGAUGGAACAAGUCUUAAGGUUCAGACGCUCACCACGGAGCUUCGGCAUUUAAGAGAUGAAGUUUAUACGCUAUUCUAAUAUUAUAAAGAUACGAGUAUACUCAAGACCCAGAGAAGUGUGAGCCUCUGUACAGCCUCCCGAGCCAGCAGGAGCCCGUCAGCCUCUGUCAGGCACAUCAGUCCCUGGCCCUUGCCAUUAUCUACUUGACCCAGAACAACGAGCACCACUACCUGGACUACCUGUCAGCGGCUUUACAUUCUCUGGAGCAGAAGAUGCAGCCUUCGUGGAGGGCAGAGACACGGCCGCCACAUAGGCAAUGAAAGGCGGCAGGGAGUGCCUCAAACCGUCAUGCUUGAGGGACAACAAUCUUUUCUUCAUUUAGUUUCUACUUUAAUAACUUUACUUCCCUUACUUGCUAUUUUUUUAAAGUUUUAUUUCAGCGCCUUAAUAUCAACCAGUCAGUCAAUCUCUUACACGUACGUUGUGACAGGUCUGUUAAGACAACUUGUAAUAAGAAGCCACAAGAACAACCAUGUAAACGUUUCCAUGUGUUUCUCCUUUCGAAUGACUAGCUACUUUAGAAUACUUACUGUCACUAAAGGUCGACCUGCCUGUACUCCAUCUUAAUAACAGCGCAAUAAUUAUACGAGUAUUUUAUGAUUUCCUCGCAUGAAAUUCAAAGAAAAUCUUACAAAAGAUCAUGUAACAUUAAAUUUCAAGGUGUUCCUCACACUCGUCACGCACUCGCACACUUUACCAUGUGGCAUGCUUUCAUGAUGUUACCAAAUCCUUUAAAUCUUAACAACUCGUAUCUCUAUUGCCAUUUCCUAUUUAUAGAAGUAACACACACACACACAUCACGUUCACACCAACGACUACCACAAGGAGCACACCUUAAAAGUGUUGGUCUUUGUAGUUUCCGUAGAAACACUCCUGAAUAGAUAAUACGCUUACACUUCUCCAUGCCCUAUAGCUUUCUCAGCUAAUAGCGUCACCGCUUCUGGGUCUCUGGUCAGCUAAAGUCAUGAGGUCAAUAGUGAAUGAAAUAAAAAAAGAAAACCCA